GAUGAAGAACGUAGCGAAAUACGAUAAGUAAUGUGAAUUGCAGAAUUCAGUGAAUCAUCGAAUCUUUGAACGCAUCUUGCGCUCCUUGGUAUUCUGAGGAGCAUGCCUGUUUGAGUGUCAUUAAAUUCUCAACUACACUGACUUUGAAUUGGUGUGGCUUGGAUUUGGGGGGAAAAUUGUUGUGGGCUUUUUGUAUAGUCUGCUCCCCUGAAAUUGAUUAGCGGUACCUUUGUGGAACUGUCUACAGGUGUGAUAAUUAUCUACAUCUUAGACAUCUGCUGGAAUGCUGCUUUCUAAACCUAACUUGUAUUGACAAUCUUGACCUCAAAUCAGGUAAGACUACCCGCUGAACUUAAGCAUAUCAAUAAGCGGAGGA
rnacentral:misc_RNA from 1 species